UACAGAGGGUGCGAGCGUUAAUCGGAAUUACUGGGCGUAAAGCGCACGUAGACGGUCUUGUAAGUCGGGUGUGAAAGCCCCGGGCUUAACCUGGGAACUGCAUUCGAGACUGCAUUACUGGAGUAUGGGAGAGGGCAGUGGAAUUUCCGGUGUAGCGGUGAAAUGCGUAGAUAUCGGAAGGAACAUCAGUGGCGAAAGCGA
rnacentral:rRNA from 1 species